rnacentral:rRNA from 1 species
AUUGAACGCUAGCGGCAUGCCUUACACAUGCAAGUCGAACGCGAAAGGGGGCAACCCUGAGUAGAGUGGCGAACGGGUGAGUAAUGCAUCGGAACGUGUCCUGUAGCGGGGGACAACCCCGAGAAAUCGGGGCUAAUACCGCAUACGUCCUACGGGAGAAAGUGGGGACCGCAAGGCCUCACACUAUAGGGGCGGCCGAUGCCGGAUUAGCUAGUUGGUGGGGUAAGAGCCCACCAAGGCGACGAUCCGUAGCUGGUCUGAGAGGAUGAUCAGCCCAACUGGGACUGAGACACGGCCCAGACUCCUACGGGAGGCAGCAGUGGGGAAUUUUGGACAAUGGGCGCAAGCCUGAUCCAGCCAUGCCGCGUGAGUGAAGAAGGCCUUCGGGUUGUAAAGCUCUUUCGGCCGGGACGAAAUCGCUCUCGCUAAUAUCGGGAGUGGAUGACGGUACCGGAAUAAGAAGCACCGGCUAACUACGUGCCAGCAGCCGCGGUAA